AUACUUAUCUGACGUAGAGAUACCGUGAUCAUGCAGGCGGUUCCCCCAGGGUGAGGCUGCUCCAUUGCACUGCGGAGUGGUUGGUGGUUGACCCUUGCGAUUAUUUAUUUAUAAGUUUCACUUCUACCAUGUGUUACUUGCACACA
rnacentral:snRNA from 9 species